AACGAACGCUGGCGGCAUGCCUAACACAUGCAAGUCGAACGAGACCUUCGGGUCUAGUGGCGCACGGGUGCGUAACACGUGGGAAUCUGCCCUUUGCUUCGGAAUAACAGUUAGAAAUGACUGCUAAUACCGGAUGAUGUCGAAAGACCAAAGAUUUAUCGGCAAAGGAUGAGCCCGCGUAGGAUUAGGUAGUUGGUGGGGUAAAGGCCUACCAAGCCGACGAUCCUUAGCUGGUCUGAGAGGAUGAUCAGCCACACUGGGACUGAGACACGGCCCAGACUCCUACGGGAGGCAGCAGUGGGGAAUAUUGGACAAUGGGCGAAAGCCUGAUCCAGUAAUGCCGCGUGAGUGAUGAAGGCCUUAGGGUUGUAAAGCUCUUUUACCAGGGAUGAUAAUGACAGUACCUGGAGAAUAAGCUCCGGCUAACUCCGUG
rnacentral:rRNA from 1 species